AGCUGCAGUCGAGAUCUUUCGCAUGGGCGAAGCCUGACGAAGCGACGCUGCGUGAGUGAUGAAGGCUUUCGGGUUGUAAAACUCUUUCGCGCAAGAGCAAAGUGGAUUAGUGAAUAACUGAUUCAUGUGAGAGUACUGCGUAAAGAAGCACCGGCUAACUC
rnacentral:rRNA from 1 species